rnacentral:misc_RNA from 1 species
AACUGAUACUACCUGCGGGAACCUGCGGAAGGAUCAUUACAAAUCCAAAAACAACAACCCGUUGAAAUGUUCUCGGCCUUGGUUGUUCAUGUUUGCAUAUUAUAUGUGUAUACGUGACAUGUAAAAUUGUUGGAGGGUGAUCGCCUUUCCUCCAAGGUCCGGUCUUUUUCAUUAAACACAUUGAUAACUUAUGGCCAUACUUAAUAGUGUGACAUAACCAAAACAACUUUUAACAAUGGA